AAUUUAAAAAAAAAAAAAAGAGAAGAUUUUUGUUCCGCUAUUUUGACUUAGUAGAGUAACUAGUGGUCUUCAUGCAUCCCAUGUUGACACUGAGGCCAAAAAACUAAGCAGAAUAUGAGCAGUGCUAGUAGCCACCUAGGGUUAUGAACCAAGAAACCGGGGGUGGUCACCACAAACUGGUCUAUCUUCAUGUCAAAAGGUCUAUGACACCUUGGGCAAGCCUAAAAGUAUUGAAUAACUUAAAAGCACCUCAAUUUCCUGUCGUUGGGUAAAAUUGUGUGAAAUUUGUGACUUGACAGGUUGGCAGAUGAUUCUUUAUGCAUUGACUAAGCUAUUUUGAAACUAAAUUGUGUGGAUAUUUUGAAAAUACUCAAGUGUUGUGUUUUAUGUUGAUAAGAACUCUUAAAAUCGAUUAUUUAUUGUGUGAGAAAUUGAGAAUUGCUUAUUAUGUUAUGUUUAUUGUGUCUUUUAGUGUUUUGCAUCAAGAAUGGAUGAGGAAACUUGUGUGAAUGAAUGUUAGAUGUUAUUGAUUGACAGAUUUCGGUUAUGCUUAAGGACAAACAUUGGAUUAGUGUGGGGGAGUUUGAUAAUGUGCAUAAUUAGCAUAUAUUUUAUUGGUUUUGCUUGAUAUUUUAGGAAAAUAUUGAAAUAAAUAUGUUGAAAUUUAUUUUGUUUUGUGUUUUGUGGCUAGGUGAUGGUGAAUGAUUGCAAAAGUGGAGAUUUUGGAUGCUUUUUAUGAAUAUUUGAACUGUUGACUAGAAUUUCGCAUGUUAUGGACCAAUUUGUAGAAUUUGUCCAUUAAGCCGUGCCCACAGCUUAAGUUCACGUGGAUACAAAGCAGAGACAGAGUCAAAUGCAUGACUGAAGAUUCUAUUUUGAUCGACUUUAGGCCCCAUUUUGGAAAUAUUAUAUUUUAAAUAGGACUAUUGAUUAGGGAAAUUAGGAAGAACAAGUUUUAUGUCUACUUUUUCUCUCUUUUCCAAAGUUAGUUACAAUUUGCCCUUUAUUAGGAUUUCUUAUGUUUUAUAUAGGGGGGAACGCAAGUUUUAGAUUCAUGUCAGAAAUUACAUAAUUCCUUUUAUUUUUUUCUUUUGCACGUUUUGUAAGCCAUAUGUGGCUAAUUCUUCUUUGAUCUAGAAAAGGUUAAUCGAAGUCAAGAUUUAUUCAAGUUGUGAGAUCUAA
rnacentral:misc_RNA from 1 species